rnacentral:rRNA from 1 species
GACGAACGCUGGCGGCGUGCUUAACACAUGCAAGUCGAACGGAAAGGCCCUGCUUUUGUGGGGUGCUCGAGUGGCGAACGGGUGAGUAACACGUGAGUAACCUGCCCUUGACUUUGGGAUAACUUCAGGAAACUGGGGCUAAUACCGGAUAGGAGCUCCUGCUGCAUGGUGGGGGGUGGAAAGUUUCGGCGGUUGGGGAUGGACUCGCGGCUUAUCAGCUUGUUGGUGGGGUAGUGGCUUACCAAGGCUUUGACGGGUAGCCGGCCUGAGAGGGUGACCGGCCACAUUGGGACUGAGAUACGGCCCAGACUCCUACGGGAGGCAGCAGUGGGGAAUAUUGCACAAUGGGCGGAAGCCUGAUGCAGCAACGCCGCGUUCGGGAUGACGGCCUUCGGGUUGUAAACCGCUUUCGCCUGUGACGAAGCGUGAGUGACGGUAAUGGGUAAAGAAGCACCGGCUAACUACGUG